ensembl:lncRNA
AAAAGGCCCUGGCUAAGGGUUGUGAAAUCCUUUAAGGAGCACAGAUGGACAAGGCCAGGAGCAAUGGGAGAGGGAUAAGCUGCUGAUAAUGGCCGGGAAACGGUCUUUUGUGUGGACUUAUCUCGAGGAAGAUGGCCAUCUCAGGAGGUAUGCACAUGACUCUUGCUCAAGCACCCAGGGAUGUCACGUAGGCAGGAGAAAAUGGAGGAUAAAAGAGGGUCCAACAACCACGGCGGAUUAGAGGCUGAUCUCUCACCACGUCUCAAGCUUUCUGCCUUCAGAUCCUUUUCUACGGACCGUAUGCUGACGGACUUCCCUGGGCCUGCUACCUGAGACCUGCUGCUUCCUCCCAGACUUACUCUGCGGCUUCUUCCUGGACCCACCCGGUACCUGCACCCUCUCGUUGCCCAAGACCGGCCUCGCUGCUCCUGCCCUUCGGCCUCAGACCGUUGGAAUGUCGUGCAACGGGACUACUGUCGGAUCCUGGUGGUGACUAUCCCCGCUUUAUGCAAUUUUUGCUUCUUUCUAUCUUUUCUAUUGCUUGCCUUCCCUUCCCCAUCACCCCAAUCCGUAAUAGUGUCCAUCCUCCCCUUUCUUCAUCUCCGUUAUUAACAUUUGUAAUAAACUGGUCGGACCAACAUUUGAACUGUUGUUUCUUAAUCUCACGCCAGGCAUACGUAUUUCAAAGAACCUCCUCUCCCUCCUAUAAAUUGGAGCGAGACCCUUGUUUACUUCGUUAGCAAGUACAGUCUGUCUGAGCACAACAGCACCCUUUCACUAUGCUUAGGGAAAGGCCUAUCCCGUACAGCACGUAUUCCCGUCGAGCGCUUACUACAACAACGC